GACAUAUACUUUCGACUUAGACGUGCCAGGUAGUUUCCAGGUUAUCCAUAGUUCGUCUAUAUACAGAAGAUAAAAGUGUAGCACCCAAAGUACAAAUCAAGAAAGUUUUCCCACCCGCCGAAUUAUUAUUUUGAGUAAUCGUCAUUGGUUUUGGCAAAGACUAUCGCAAAUGAUUGAUAUCGAGCUUCAAGAAACAUGUCGAGGAGACUCAGGAACUGGUAAGUUCUCUACUCAUUUUAGAUCCGUUGAAUGUAUGGUCUGGCGCUUUUUUAGUUGGAACAAAUGGAGCUAGGAAUUAGGGAGACUAAACCAUUCAAAAAACAGGACUGCAGAAGGAAAUUUAACUGCUAUUGAGCCUAACUCACUUAAUGUACUGUCUGUUACAUUAAAGUGAAGCAGAUGACAGACGGUGAGAUUCGUGUAGCUGCCGAUUAAAAAUAAAGACUAUUGGAUAAUUCCGAAUGAAGCUAUCGUACAGGGAAAAAACUUAAGGAGGGUCACCGGAUUGUGCUGGUAACCCACGAGGGAGGUAAUCAAGAACUUAUCAAACACUAAACAGGGGGCUAAAGAGAAACUCUCCAACAUUCGAGGGUUAACAAAUGGAGCUAGAAAUUAGGAAGAUUGAGCCAUUGACAAAACGGUGCUUCCGAAGGGAAAUUAACUGCUAUCGAGUCUAAGUCAAAUGUCUAUCCUAUUAGUUACAUUAAGAUGAAACAGAAAUUAAACUACGACAGACCAAAAAAAAUCAGUGUCAUUCCCGUAGCUGUCGAUCAAAAGACUGUUGUAUAAAUUCUAACAGAAUGAUGGUACUGGGAAAAAAGUUGAGAACGGCUGCUUAAACAUAUUGGGGAAGUUUUAGAGCUAGGGUAAAUUUUUCUGUAUACAUUUCCUCUAUAUUAAAUUUUUAAAUUCUUAUUUGUUAGUUACGAGACACCAAUAAGGAUUUAAAUUUGUCGUCAGGACUAAUGAACAUCCAUCCAGCAAAUAGCGUUACUGUUCGCAAUUGGUUUCGAUUUUUUAACCACUAUAUUUUUAGGAUUGUAUUAACAGUUGGGCUGAAAAGUUCGUAGGCUAGCAUAGAAAAUAUCUUUUUUUUUUGAUAGAAUUUAAUUUUAUCAUUCAAUAUAGUCGCCUUCGAGGGCGUCUUUUCAGAUUGAUACACUUAUUCCAGCUAUUUUCAACUUUUGAUCCUAUCCGAAAAUUAAAAAAUUAAUUUUCCGGGAGGUCUGAAAAUACUCUGAAUUUUUAAUUAAUCAACCACCUUUUGAGAUUUGGGAAGAGAUAAUAGUCAGAUGGAGCUAAAUCUGACGAAUAAGGUGGAUGUCGGCGCAUUGUCUUGCAAAAACAAAAUUUUUUUUCGCUUCAUGUGAGCCGUUUCGCUGCGAUUUCGGACUUUAAUCGCUCCAAUAAUGCACAUUAAUAAUCGCUGUUGAUGGUUUUUCCUUUUUCGAGGUAGUCCAUGAAGAGUAUGCCAUGACAAUCCCAUCGGAGGGCCUGCCGCUACGGACUUCAUCGGCAGUGGAGUUUUCGGCCACCAUGAAACUCUCGAAACCAAUAUUUCACAGUGUAAUCUGAAGGAGCAUUAGCCCCAUAAUAUUUAUCCACCUUUUCUUUUGUUUCCUUCGCCGUUUUGCCUCUCAAAAAUAAUAUUUUAUGGGAACGAAAAUCAUGAUGCCAAACACGUAACCGAAAACCAGCUGUCAAAACAAAACUAUGUCUAACUUGUCGGCCUAAAUAUGAAUGAGCUAUAAGGCAUCAUUAUCUUUUUCGCGAUAGCAACGCAUUUUGGUAGUCAAGGUGGUUACUUUUCAGCCCACCUGUUAUAUAUGUUAUAUGAUAUUUUAUCAUUGAUAGUCGUUUUUUGUAAAUAUUUUUCAAGACUGGUCAUUUAAUUACUUCAAAACCUUUACGUUUACGUUGUUAUUUCGUUUUAGCAUAUUUAUUAUGGUUACAAUGUUUUAUUCCAAUAAAAAAUAUAUCUGUUUCAAUUUUAAGACAUUUGUGGGGUACAGACCUAAAACAAUCAAAAUAUUUUAAGCAAAAUAAUUAAAAACUAUGUUAGAUAUAAUUAAAUUACUUGAGAGGUAAGUAAAUCGUAAGUUUACUCGUUUUAGAUCCAUCGAAGAUAUUGCCAGAUGCUUUUUUAGUUGGAACAAAUGGAGCUAGAAAUUGGGAAGAUCGAGCCAUUGAACAAACAAGAAAAGAUAGAAGAAAAAGAAGGAAGUUUAACUGCUAUUGAGUCUAACUCAAAUGUCUCACUGUUCGUUACAGAGAGAAAACUAUAAUAGACGAGAAACAAUCGGUGACAUGCAUGUAGCUCCCUAAUCAAGUACUUAAACAUAUAGGGGACUAAAGAGAAACCCUCCAAUGUUUCAAAGCUAGUUAAAAUUUUUCUGUAGACACUUCAUCUUUAUCAUAUUUUUAAAUUCUUAUUUUGUAGUUACAAAACACUAAUGAAGAUUUAAGUUGGUCGUCACGACUAAUGAAUACGAUGAUAUAUAUAGCAAAGCGUGGUACUGUUCGCGGCUAAACUCCAACAUUCGAGGGUAAAUUUUUCUGUAAACACUUCAUCCAUAUUAAAUUUUUAAUUCUAAUAUUUAUAGUUAUGAGACACCAAUAAUGAUUUAAAUCAGUCGUCACGUCACGUAAUGAAAACGAUGAUUAUAAGAUCCAUCCAGCAAAGAGUGCUACUGUUCGUUAUAGUUUUAGAAUUGUAUUAUAGAUUUAUAAAUUGAUUUCAAGUUUCAUGCAUUACACAGUAGCAAAUAAUAUUUUAUCAUUGAUUAUCGUUUUUUGUAAAUAUUUUUUCAAGAUUCGAUGAUUAUAAGCUCUAUCUAGCAAAGCGUGGUACUGUUCGCUGUUGGUGUCUGUAUUUUAAUCACCAUAGUUUUAUUAAUAGGAUUGUAUUAUAGAUUUAGAAAUUGAUUUCGAGUUUCAGGCAUUACACACGACGGCAAAUAAUACUUUUUAAUUGAUUGUCGUUUUUUGUAAAUAUUGUUUCAAGACUGGCCAUUUAGUAAAUUCAAAUUUAUUGUUAUUUUAAGAAGCUAUACCAAAAAUAUAACUACUGUUAUUACAAUUUGUUUUAGUUUUAAGAUAUUUGUGGGGACAAACCUACAACAAUCAAAAUAUUUUAAAUAAAAUAAUUAAAAACUAUGAUA